UGGCUCAGAACGAACGCUGGCGGCGUGCCUAAUGCUUACAAGUCGCACGCAGCACCUUCGGGUGCUGAGUGGCGCACGGCUGAGGAACACGUACGAAUCUGCCUUGCUGUGGGGGAUAACCCGCCGAAAGGCGUGCUAAUACCGGAUAAGCUCACGGUGGCGCAUGCCGCAGGGAGAAAAGGCGCUGUUGAGGCGCUGGUGUCAGAGGGGUCCGCGGCCCAUUAGCUAGUUGGCGGGGUAACGGCCCAGCAAAGCGACGAUGGGUAGCCGGCCUGAGAGGGCGACCGGCCACA
rnacentral:rRNA from 1 species